AACGAACGCUGGCGGCAUGCCUAACACAUGCAAGUCGAACGAGACCUGGGGUCUAGUGGCGCACGGGUGCGUAACGCGUGGGAACCUGCCCUUAGGUUCGGAAUAACUCCCCGAAAGGGGUGCUAAUACCGGAUAAUGUCUUCGGACCAAAGAUUUAUCGCCUUUGGAUGGGCCCGCGUUGGAUUAGCUAGUUGGUAGGGUAAAAGCCUACCAAGGCGACGAUCCAUAGCUGGUCUGAGAGGAUGAUCAGCCACACUGGGACUGAGACACGGCCCAGACUCCUACGGGAGGCAGCAGUGGGGAAUAUUGGACAAUGGGCGAAAGCCUGAUCCAGCAAUGCCGCGUGAGUGAUGAAGGCCUUAGGGUUGUAAAGCUCUUUUACCCGGGAUGAUAAUGACAGUACCGGGAGAAUAAGCUCCGGCUAACUCCGUG
rnacentral:rRNA from 1 species